GGGAUGAAAGCAGCACAUCGAACUCCUCCAGUGAUACUGCUGAUGCUUUCUGACAAGCUGUUGAUUGAAAGGAGGGACCCCACAGGCACUUUCUGUUAAGAAGAAAAAGGUAACAGUAAACAUUUUUCCAAUGCAACCCCUUUAAUUUACAAAGCAUGUGCAGAAGUCUGUUUCUUUUAGAGCAGAAGAAAUCAAAUAGGAGUGACAGCAUCUUGGAGCUGGGAACACAUUAUCUUUCAGCCAAAAGUCUCUAGAAGGGUGGGGGAUUUUUCCUGCUCUGAAGACUUCUAUUUUGUCUGCAUAUAGUUGUUAAUUUUUUUUUUUUUCUCUGCUGUCUCUGCAUGUCUUUAACAUUCACAGAAACCACCAGAGAUAGCAAAGGAGCCACUCUGCCUUUGCUGUGAGUCAAAAUCUUUGUUGUUUGAGUGACUUGGUUCCAGAAGGAGGCUGAGCCUUCCUGUAGUAAUGGGAAAUGUCUGUGUCCAGCCCCUGACAUUACAUAUCAUCAUAAUAGCUCUGAAGGUCCAAGGACACAAACGGGGACAGGACUGCAGGUGAAUUUUACAUGAGACCAACCUAUGUAUGCACUUAAAUCUAUGCAUAAAUCUUUGGGAAUCUGAGCUUGUAUUACAGGUCUGAGACAAGCUGCAAUUUUCAUUGUACUGGCUAGAAACAAUUGCUUUGAAAUCAGUUUAUUUUUCAUGCAUUAAUUAUAAUAGCUUAAGGUAAGACACCCAUGGACUACAGAGGGUCUGGUAAGGGGAGAGGUGAUAUACAGCAAGAUAGGAAAUAAUGAGACUGUGAGGAAUUAGGAGAUGAAGGAUGUGUGAAACAUUGCAGGAUGACUUGAAGCAAACAUCUCUGCUUGAUUUGCUGGUUUUUAGUAGCUAGUGGAGGUGAAUACUAUUCCCUAGGCUUAUUUUUGGUAGGUCCCUCUUGAAAACUGCUGAGUGGUGAAGGGGUUAGUUGUUUUAUGAAAUGUGCUCUCUCGAGGAUAGCUGGUUUAAAGGUUGUCUGGGCAUUGGUCGUGGGCUUGCUUAGACACCACUGCACAUCUAGCUAGUCUUCCUCGGGUUCUGCACUGGGCAAAGGAGUAAUAGGAAGUCCAAAAUAUAGUCAUGUGAAUUUUCUUAUGAUUUAAUACUUUUUUCUCGUUGUCCUCUCUGAUUAACUUGUCCAGCCAUCCACAAGUAAUUUUCAGUAUUUCUCUGGACGCAGGAAAAAACAGACAACCAAUUCCCUUCAGAUCAGUUUAGCUACGAGAGGGUGUGAGUGUGGUUGUGGAGGGUGUGGUGCACGCUCAAAGAAAUCAGAUAUCUCCGGGGAACUAAUUAGAGCUUUUAACUGUUGUUGCAAUCUCUUCUAUGGAAGAGAAGUUUUCACAUGAAUAUUUCUUUCAUUAGAGGUGAAAUCAGAUCCUCAUCCCGCACUUGCUGUGUUUGGAGUGCUGCCAAAAAGCUCUUUUAAAAAGGCAUUCCUACCGGAGUAUGUCAUGGGCUAUUCUCUGCUCCCAGCUCAGAUGGGGAACUGGAAUGCAGACCUCCCAGUCACACACUAGUGGUGGCAUUCGGGAGGCUCACGUUGCAAUCUAGAGAAAAUAAGCAUCAAGGCAGAGGCAAUACCACAUGAAAAUGACAGGGAGGAACAAGCAAAAGACAUGUGCUGUCUGUAGGGAGCUCAGCAAAUCCACAGCCCUCCAAACCUGCGUUUAACACGUCCGGUGCUUAAGUCAGUGUAACAACCAGCUGGGAUUUACACACAUGUACUUCUACUAAAAAGUUCUUUUGUAGCUUUUAAAGGCGGUAUCUCCACAAGAGAGUGAGCUGCCUAAAGAGUAGAGUGAAAAGCAAGAGGAGAAGGAAACAUCUGAGCUGAAAAAGGUCCUGGUUAGCAACUUUCUGUGGUGGGUAGAUGACAUGAAAGGAUGGAAAAGCAGGGACAGGACAUUUUCUUCCUAGAGGAAAGAUAUGACUCUUGAGGCCCACAGUGACAGCCCUAUACCAUCUGGCCCUGUAAAAUAUUAUUCCCAGCUAUUUCUAGUGUGUGUAACAUCAUAUUUUCUUCAUAACAUGUGAUAAAAAAAUACUUGGUUGGAACGUGAACUAUUCAAUGGAGAUGGUGGCAGACAUCCCCAUGCCUGCUGUCCCAAUGAACAUUAAAGUUGAUUGUGUUCCUGCAGAGAAGCUGCAUGACAAUUCAGCAGAGAAAGGUGGCUGAGCAUCAAGCAUACCAGGCAUCUCUGGAAAUUAUAUCAUGUUGUUUUCAUUAGUUUCCAAUCUUGGUAAACUGGGAUUGACUAAAUGCUCUGAGGGAGUUCAAAAUGAGAACAGCUGAAUCACAGCAGACUCACUGGAGUGAUCGAAGGCAACAGCAAGCAGAAAUUUGCGUGAGUCAUCGUAAAGAAGAGGCCAGAGAAAAGGGUGGGUGUGCUUUGUACUAAAGUACAUAGCUCUUCUGGGAACAUGAGCUUCUCAGGAGCUUCUGCUUUUCUAUUCUGGUGUAAAUCCAAAGGGAAUCUACUAUUUUCUAUGAAUUGCUCUAGAUAAGGAUGAGUUCUGCUGGAAACAAGAGGUACAGCCCAAGUUCUUACACCCAUUCUGUCCUUCAAUUCAGCUGUUUUUCACCUGCUGCAGAUCUGUGUAAGUGGGACGGCAUCACUCCAGAACAAAGGCCCAGGGCAGGGAAAAAAAUGUACCCAGAGACAUGACAAGACCAUUGCCUUAGCUUCUACCACUGUGAUAUUCCAAAAGUGUAAAGAAGAGGAUCUACUCAUUUUGGGCAGAGGCCAGGAGCACAGUGCCUCCCACAACGGGGCCAUUCCCUGCCCUCACAUUGCACAGCCUUCCUUCCACACCCUGUCUGACCAGUUGUGGCACUCACCCUGCUACACCUCCCACAGCUGCCAUUGCUGGCAGGAAAGGGGACUGCCAAGAGGGAGUUGACUUGGUAGGUGGAUUAAUGGAUUUUUUUCCUACUUUUUCUUUGUGUAGACUGAGGGAUUGGCAAUGCCACAAAGAGAGCUGGUCUGAAUCCCACAAAACAGUGUCUCAGCACCUUCACAUUUUGACAGUAGCCCCACAGCCUUUGUAAAACUGUGUUGUCUACUUUACAGUAACUAUUUGCUUGCUGAAUACAGCCACCACCAAGCCUUUGCUUGAAAUCCUUGAAGGAAAUUAGUUGUCCCAUCCUCUGUAUCCCUUGGUUGUUUCUAGAAGGGUGUGUGUGGUACCCUGCUAUUCUCAAACUAAUUAAUAGCUCCUGCUGCUCACCUCUGGUGGAGACAGCAUGCUGACACUGCUCCCAAAUGUCCUUCUGUUGGAAUCAUCUGGGUGAAAUGACUCACUUUAAAUAAUCUGUCAUCUUGAUAAUUUGUGUCCUUUUAACCCCAGAAGAUUUGGGAUGAAUACCUGCCCUGGUAAUCUGCCAGCACACAGGGGCUGAGCCCCUGAGUGCUCACUCACACACUCCCUGCUGCUGAGCACCUGGCAGCAUGUUGAGGGACUCCUUCAGUGACUCCAAAGGCCUCCUCUGACCAGGCUCCUGCGGAAUUUUCCACUUAGGGCACUCCUCUACAAGGUAUCAUGCUUCCACAGCAUGGUCCAAGCAGGGAUCUCAAAGCUCUGUAUAGAUAGAAAUCAGCACCAUCUCAACAGUGACCUUCCCAGCCCCAGCUUGGAAGCCACAGGACCCCCAGCUGCUCCCAUAACUCACCUCCCCUCUGCCUUUCUCUGUCUUCCCAUGUUUAUUCCUUUUGGUGUUCUUUUUGCCAGAGGAAGAGUGCCAGCACGAUCACAAACUUGUCUUCCCUGUGGCCAGGCACCUCCACAUUCAAAGGAAGUAAACUGUGCUAAUGUUUACAAGAAAUAUUUUAAUUCCAAUGUGUGAAACCAUCCUCUUGACAACAUCUUUCUGUGGCUAAGCAUUAAAAUGUUUAUUCAGACUGGGCCAAGAUCUAUUUCAAGUCAAAACCCCAGAGUCAGACAUUCCUGCAUUCUCCAACAGCAUUCCCUCAAGCUGACUGUGACAGGGCAAAGCUGGCUGUUGUCUGGGGACAGAAAUUCUCUCCUGCUCAUGCAUUGUCCCCUUGCUUCUGAAAAGUGCUGCACAGUCACAGUAAGUGAUGGCUCACUAGAUAAGAAGCUGCUCUGCAUGUGAAUGAGUGUCCAGCACUUUCAGGAAACUGUGAGAUGGGCAGUUCCCCUUUUUAAUGCUCUUUGAUGACCAAUAAAAAUGUCAAAAUAUGUGCACCAGCUGCCUUCAGCUAAGCAUUGGAUUUACCUGCAUAUUCCCACCAAUCUUCAAGUGCAGAAAAUUAUCUCAUGAAAGUUUACUUCAUUUCUAGUUGAGCUGUUUCUAAAUGUGAAAAAUCUAGUGUCUAAUGAUGUAUGAGCUGGAUUUUUUUCAGUUUUGGUUUGUUGUGUGGUUUUGUUGGUGUUUUUUUUAACCACAUUAUUAGAUUUCUCCCAGAAAGUUUCUCUUUGUGGUCUUAUGGUAUGGAUAAUUUUCUGGGUAUUAUGGUAUGUGUCUUCCCAGAUGAGUCUAGGGAAUAAAAUCACAUGAACAAACAGAAGUAUAAUUACAUAUUCCUGCACCUUCUAUAUAUAUGUAAGCAUUUGAUGUGUGUAUAAAAAUAUGAGGCUUGCAUUGA